GUACAGCCCAACAUCCCAGCUGCUGUAGCUAUGGAGACCGAGGAUCACUGCCCUGCUGCUUUAGUGGCCACAGACUCUCAGGAGACCAGUGACGAUCCAGUUGGAGUGGUGCUGAUCACACAGCUGGAGUGGUCUUUCAGCAUGGCUCUGAAGCAGUUUCCCGGUCCCAGCGGUCCCAGUGGUCCCAGAAAACAGCUGCUACCAGAGGCAGUCUUUCAUGGAUACAGGUCAUUCAAAUGACCUACCUACCAUCCUCCUACAGACCAGGAGGAGUCUCUGAGCCGGUCUACAGUGGAGCGGAUUGGUUCAGAUAUCCUGGUUAAACAACAACAACAACAAGAACAUCAUCAUCAUC